rnacentral:rRNA from 1 species
AGGACGAACGCUGGCGGCGUGCUUAACACAUGCAAGUCGAGCGGAAAGGCCCUUCGGGGUACUCGAGCGGCGAACGGGUGAGUAACACGUGAGUAAUCUGCCCCUAGCUCUGGGAUAGCUCCGGGAAACCGGGGCUAAUACCGGAUAUGACCUCGAGCGGCAUCUCUUGAGGUGGAAAGCUCCGACGGUGAGGGAUGGGCCCGCGGCCUAUCAGCUUGUUGGUGGGGUAAUGGCCUACCAAGGCGACGACGGGUA